UGCUACAAUGGCGUAAACAAAGGGAGGCGAAGCCGCGAGGUGGAGCAAAUCCCAAAAAUAACGUCUCAGUUCGGAUUGUAGUCUGCAACUCGACUACAUGAAGCUGGAAUCGCUAGUAAUCGCGAAUCAGAAUGUCGCGGUGAAUACGUUCCCGGGCCUUGUACACACCGCCCGUCAAGCCAUGGGAGCCGGGGGUACCUGAAGUGCGUAACCGCGAGGAUCGCCCUAGGGUAAAACUGGUGACUGGGGCUAAGUCGUAACAAGGUACC
rnacentral:rRNA from 1 species